GAUGAACGCUGGCGGCGUGCCUAAUACAUGCAAGUCGAGCGACCAGAUGAGGAGCUUGCUCCUCUGACGUUAGCGGCGGACGGGUGAGUAACACGUGGAUAACCUACCUAUAAGACUUGGAUAACUUCGUGAAACCGGAGCUAAUACCGGCUCAUAUAUUGAACCGCAUGGUUCAAUAGUUAAAGACGGUUUUGCUGUCACUUAUAGAUGGAUCCGCGCCGCAUUAGCUAGUUGGUAAGGUAACGGCUUACCAAGGCGACGAUGCGUAGCCGACCUGAGAGGAUGAUCGGCCACACUGGAACUGAGACACGGUCCAGACUCCGACGGGAGGCAGCAGUAGGGAAUCUUCCGCAAUGGGCGAAAGCCUGACGGAGCAACGCCGCGUGAGUGAUGAAGGUCUUCGGAUCGUAAAACUCUGUUAUUAGGGAAGAACAAAUGUGUAAGUAAAUAUGCACGUCUUGACGGUACCUAAUCAGAAAGCAACGGCUAACUACGUG
rnacentral:rRNA from 1 species